rnacentral:rRNA from 1 species
AGAACGAACGCUGGCGGCAGGCUUAACACAUGCAAGUCGAACGCGUGUAGCAAUACACGAGUGGCGCACGGGUGAGUAACGCGUGGAUAUCUGCCUUUUGGUUCGGAAUAACCCCGGGAAACUGGGGCUAAUACCGGAUGGUUCCUACGGGAUAAAGAUUUAUCGCCAAAAGAUGAGUCCGCGUCCGAUUAGCUAGUUGGUGGGGUAAUGGCCUACCAAGGCGACGAUCGGUAGCUGGUCUGAGAGGACGAUCAGCCACACUGGGACUGAGACACGGCCCAGACCCCUACGGGAGGCAGCAGUGGGGAAUAUUGGACAAUGGGGGCAACCCUGAUCCAGCCAUGCCGCGUGAGUGAUGAAGGCCUUCGGGUUGUAAAGCUCUUUUGGCGGGACGAUGAUGACGGUACCCGCAGAAUAAGCCCGGCUAACUUCGCGCCAGCAGCCGC